UACGGAGGAUGCGAGCGUUAUCCGGAUUUCUUGGGUUUACAGGGUGCGCAGGCGGAGGUGCAAGUCAGCGGUCAAAGCCCGGGGCUCAACCCCGGCCCGCCGUUGAAACUGGCAGUCUCGAGUUGGAGAGAAGUAUGCGGAAUGCGCGGUGUAGCGGUGAAAUGCAUAGAUAUCGCGCAGAACUCCGAUUGCGAAGGCAGCAUGCCGGCUCCACACUGACGCUGAGGCACGACAGCGUGGGUAUCGAACAGG
rnacentral:rRNA from 1 species